GAUGAACGCUAGCGGCAGGCUUAACACAUGCAAGUCGAGGGGCAGCACAGGGAGCAAUCCUGGGUGGCGACCGGCGGAAGGGUGCGUAACGCGUGAGCAACUUGCCCGUAUCUGGGAGAUAACCGAUGGAAACGUCGACUAAUAUCCCAUAACACAUUUUGUGGCAUCGCAGGAUGUUAAAAGAGAAUCGGAUACGGAUAGGCUCGCGUGACAUUAGCUAGUUGGAGUGGUAACGGCACACCAAGGCGACGAUGUCUAGGGGUUCUGAGAGGAAGGUCCCCCACACUGGAACUGAGACACGGUCCAGACUCCUACGGGAGGCAGCAGUGAGGAAUAUUGGUCAAUGGGGCGAAAGCCUGAACCAGCCAUGCCGCGUGAAGGAUAAGGCCCUAUGGGUCGUAAACUUCUUUUGACGGGGAGCAAUAAGGUCUACGUGAGACUUUUUACAUGUACCUUAUGAAUAAGGACCGGCUAAUUCCGUG
rnacentral:rRNA from 1 species